CUACGGGUGGCACCAGUGAGGAAUAUUGCACAAUGGGGGGAACCCUGAUGCAGCAACGCCGCGUGGAGGAUGACGCAUUUCGGUGUGUAAACUCCUUUUAUAUGUCAAGAAAAUGACGGUAGCAUAUGAAUAAGCACCGGCUAACUCCGUGCCAGCAGCCGCGGUAAUACGGAGGGUGCAAGCGUUACUCGGAAUCACUGGGCGUAAAGGACGCGUAGGCGGGUUGGAAAGUCAGGUGUGAAAUCCUACAGCUUAACUGUAGAACUGCACUUGAAACUUCUAAUCUAGAGUAUGGGAGGGGGAGAUGGAAUUAGUGGUGUAGGGGUAAGAUCCGUAGAUAACACUAGGAAUACCUAAAGCGAAGGCGAUCUCCUGGAACAUUACUGACGCUAAGGCGUGAAAGCGUGGGGAGCAAACAGGAUUAGAUACCCUCGUAGUC
rnacentral:rRNA from 1 species